rnacentral:rRNA from 1 species
UACGAAGGGGGCUAGCGUUGCUCGGAAUCACUGGGCGUAAAGGGUGCGUAGGCGGGUCUUUAAGUCAGGGGUGAAAUCCUGGAGCUCAACUCCAGAACUGCCUUUGAUACUGAGGAUCUUGAGUUCGGGAGAGGUGAGUGGAACUGCGAGUGUAGAGGUGAAAUUCGUAGAUAUUCGCAAGAACACCAAAGGCGAAGGCAGUGUCCUGGGUGGUCGCUGACGCUGAGAGGCGAAAGCCAGGGGAGCGAACGGG